GACGAACGCUGGCGGCGUGCUUAACACAUGCAAGUCGAACGGUAAGGCUCCAGCUUGCUGGGGUACACGAGUGGCGAACGGGUGAGUAACACGUGGGUGACCUGCCCUGCACUUCGGGAUAAGCCUGGGAAACUGGGUCUAAUACCGGAUAGGACCAUGGUGUGGAUACUGUGGUGGAAAGUUUUUUCGGUGUGGGAUGGGCCCGCGGCCUAUCAGCUUGUUGGUGGGGUAAUGGCCUACCAAGGCGGCGACGGGUAGCCGGCCUGAGAGGGUGGACGGCCACAUUGGGACUGAGACACGGCCCAGACUCCUACGGGAGGCAGCAGUGGGGAAUAUUGCACAAUGGGCGGAAGCCUGAUGCAGCGACGCCGCGUGGGGGAUGACGGCCUUCGGGUUGUAAACUCCUUUCACGAUCGACGAAGGGUUUCUGACGGUAGAUGGAGAAGAAGCACCGGCUAACUACGUG
rnacentral:rRNA from 1 species